rnacentral:tRNA from 1 species
AAGGGUAUAGCUCAACUGGUAGAGCACAUGCUUAGCAUGCAAGAGGUCCUGGGUUCAAUCCCCAGUACCUCCA